GAUGAAGAACGUAGCAAAAUGCGAUACUUGGUGUGAAUUGCAGAAUCCCGUGAACCAUCGAGUUUUUGAACGCAAGUUGCGCCCGAAGCCUUUUGGCCGAGGGCACGUCUGCCUGGGCGUCACGCAUCGCGUCGCCCCCCACAAUUCUCCGUAAAGGGAACAUGUGUUUUGGGGGCGGAUAUUGGUCUCCCGUGCUCAUGGCAUGGUUGGCCGAAAUAGGAGUCCUUUCGAUGGACGCACGAACUAGUGGUGGUCGUAAAAACCCUCGUCUUUUGUUUCGUGCUGUUGCUCGCAAGGUAAACUCUUUAAAAACCCCAAUGUGUCGUCUCUUGACGACGCUUCGACCGCGACCCCAGGUCAGGCGGGACUACCCGCUGAGUUUAAGCAUAUCAAUAAGCGGAGGA
rnacentral:misc_RNA from 1 species